UGCCGACCCAUUCGUUAUUUUUGCACAUGCGGAAACGUAAAAACAAUCUCCAUACAACAAGACAGUGGGAUAGAAACGUAGGAUAUUAUUUUUCACAAGCCACACCUACAACAUCACAUUACUUAUAGACUAAUUUAACACCCCAAGGUCUAAUACAAAAAGUGAAGCUGUUCGAUUACCCACUAACUAAGCUUCUACCUAUAAGACUGGGAUUUACUACUACAAUACCAUACUUCUCGAUUUCUCAGGGGUGAGCUGUCACCCUACAUCCAGUCUUGACGAAAAACCAGUCAUCACUUGGAAGGAGAUAGCGAGAGUCCUAUUCCUCCUUUACUGCGACUGACUGUACACGACCCGGCCUUCCUCCAUGUAGGGACCUGAAACAUGUUAGCCCACUAAGGGGUGAGAUCACUUCUCAGCGAGUAAAUCUCCUAAUUUGAGAUUAGGCAAAGGGUAUAUCCUGCAUGCAAUCUAAUCACGUUUCUCAUACUUUCUUAAUACUAGUACUUUCCUGCAUGUUAGUGUCAAUCAAAUCAUACAUGAGAUAUCGAGAUCAUAUAUCAUCACAAUACUUUUAACAUGUACAUAUGUAAGGACAUAAAUGUCACAUAAUUACACGGGCCCCCAAUUACCAGACUAAACCGUUAUGGCACGUCCCAUACCGCACCACACAGUUCCGUCUUUUAAUUAGGUCCCUCACUUUCACCCAUUCAUGUGUCACAAAUGAUUUCAAUACUCAGAUAACAGUCUUCCGGCAUAACCGGGCAUUUCAUGUGUCACAAAUGAUUUCAAUGCAUAGAUAACAGUCUUCCGACAUAACCGGGCAUCGCCUCGCACCGUCGAGCACGGCAUCGUCUACAUCUAAACUGCAUUCCAUAUAGGAGCAUCAGUACAGCCUCCACUGUGACCGGCAUCCGUUGACGUAGGGCAUUUCCGAAGAAGCAUCGCCCGGCCCCAAAGGCUCGUGGCAGAAUCAUGUCAUGAAUGCAUAUGAUCAAUGUCACACUUCAAUAAUUAGUUACACAUAGCAUUCACAGUCUCAAUUAAGCAAUUUCAUGGCAAGAAUACUUCAAAACAAGCAUACACUUUUACUAACUCGAAUUAACAGAAAACAGUCCAAUUACGCUCUUCCGAAUUCGAAGUCAGAAACCCACUCGUAUGAGCCCGAAAAAUUCUCAAAUUUGGACACAUGCUAGAAGACACAAAAAAAAAAACAUUUUUCAUGAAGGCACCGAGAUCUAGAUCCCUCUGGAUUCGGCCCAGAAAUUCUUUCUAUCCAGCACAAAAAUCGGGUCCAGUUCCAGAGAGCCUAACUCAUCGUAAUCAGUUCGUUUUUGGGUCUAAAUCUAGUCCGUUUGAUUUGAAAUUCAAGUAUGUUAAACUAAAGGUUAUAAAGAAAAAUUUUCAUGAAGAAACCGAUUGGAAAUUCGACCUCUAAAGGUCAGUAAUAGCCCUCUGAAUCAUAACAGGUCAGGAGUUACAGAACUGUCCGAAUUACUGUUCCGAGGAUGACGUCAUUAAAAUCAUCGUCUUUUUAAUUUAUAAAAAUUCUAAGAAAAAUAUAUGUUAUUAUUUGGGAUAUAUAAAACAUUUCUUUACAACAAAAUUUCUUCAAAAUCGUAACACACAGUUGUCUACGAAAUCAGCAAAACACACACGUCCUGGAAACUGUUUCAGAAAUCAGCUACUGUUCUAGUCCAAAUCUUCGUCCAUGACGUUUAUCUUGCUCUCUAAACCCUAUCUAAGCUUUUCUAUGGCCAUCAUAACAUCCCUAACCAAUAUCCAUCCAUAUCUAACGUCAUCUACAUAUUUUUAACUUGUACGAAUUCCUAAUAGAAGUACUCAACCCCUAGUCCAAAUUUAGAAGACAACUCACCACCGAAACUAAUGGCAAUCCUCACUUGUGGCCGUACGGCAACACAAGGACAGCCCUGGAGGUUUUUGACGAUGAUUUGGACCCGGCACAACGGCUAGAGGUGUCGUUGAGCGACCACCAUAGUAGCACACAAAGUCUCGGAUUUUCUUUAGGAGGGAGGAACGCUCGAGACCUUGUUGUUCGGUCGCUGCUUUGUCAUCCAAGGGGGAGCUGAAAUGGAAGUUACACGUUCAAGGGAAGAGAAAGCAACAACUUGUACGUUGAAAGAGACAAGGGAGAAGAAUAAAAUAAGAGGAAGAAAGGAAAAGGUGGAAGUUGCCGUGUAAAAUACAGCAGACAGACUUCCAUGCGUGAGAAAAGGGUG
rnacentral:lncRNA from 1 species